rnacentral:rRNA from 1 species
CCUACGGGGGCAGCAGUGGGGAAUUUUGCGCCAUGGGCGAAAGCCUGACGCAGCAACGCCGCGUGAGUGAUGAAGGCUUUCGGGUCGUAAAGCUCUGUCAAGGGGAAAGAAAUGUAUUGUGGUUAAUACCCAUGAUACUUGACGGUACCCAUAAAGGAAGCACCGGCUAACUCCGUGCCAGCAGCCGCGGUAAUACGGAGGGUGCAAGAGUUGUUCGGAUUUAUUGGGCGUAAAGCGCGUGUAGGCGGUUUGUUAAGUCUGAUGUGAAAGCCCUGGGCUCAACCUAGGAAGUGCAUUGGAUACUGGCAGACAUGAAUACGGGAGAGGGUAGUGGAAUUCCUGGUGUAGGAGUGAAAUCCGUAGAUAUCAGGAGGAACACCGGUGGCGAAGGCGGCUGCCUGGACCGAUAUUGACGCUGAGACGCGAAAGCGUGGGUAGCAAACA